GCUGACACAUUCCAGCCAAUCAGCAGCAGACCCUCCCUCCCAGAUCCUCCCACCUCCUGGACAGCAUCCAUUUUGAAGCUGCAUUCUUAGUGAGCUGUCCAGGAGGUGGGAGGGUCUGGGAGGGAGGGUCUGCUGCUGAUUGGCUGGAAUGUGUCAG